UGGCGGGUAGUUCAGUUGGUAGAACGCGGCAUUUACUUUGCCGAGGUCACAGGUUCGAUUCCUGCACCGCCAACCA
rnacentral:tRNA from 1 species